CACAAUAUUUAACCUACAGGCGCCCUCCGGGGCUUAAAAGGGAAGCCGGUGAAAGGCCGGCGCGGUCCCGCCGCUGUAACCGGGGACAAAACCUGCACACCGCCACUGCCCUUGCUCAAAAGGGCGGGAAGGCGCAGGGAUUAGGAAGAUCCGGGAGUCAGAAGACCUGCCUGUAAGCCGACUGCUUC
rnacentral:ncRNA from 2 species